rnacentral:rRNA from 1 species
UGGGGAAUCUUGCGCAAUGGGCGAAAGCCUGACGCAGCCAUGCCGCGUGAAUGAUGAAGGUCUUAGGAUUGUAAAAUUCUUUCACCGGGGACGAUAAUGAUGGUACCCGGAGAAGAAGCCCCGGCUAACUUCGUGCCAGCAGCCGCGGUAAUACGCAGGGGGCUAGCGUUGCUCGGAAUUACUGGGCGUAAAGGGCGCGUAGGCGGACAUUUAAGUCAGGGGUGAAAUCCCGAGGCUCAACCUCGGAACUGCCUUUGAUACUGGGUGUCUUGAGUGUGAGAGAGGUAUGUGGAACUCCGAGUGUAGAGGUGAAAUUCGUAGAUAUUCGGAAGAACACCAGUGGCGAAGGCGACAUACUGGCUCAUUACUGACGCUGAGGCGCGAAAGCGUGGGGAGCAAACA